GAUGGAGCAACUGUGGAUGCCUGGCUGUGUUUCCAUAAAGGGAGAUGCCGCCACACCAGCACCUCCUCAUUUUAAAAAUU